UGGGGAAUAUUGCACAAUGGGGGAAACCCUGAUGCAGCGACGCCGCGUGAGCGAAGAAGGCCUUCGGGUCGUAAAGCUCUUUUAUGAGGGAAGAUAAUGACGGUACCUCAAGAAAAAGCACCGGCUAACUACGUGCCAGCAGCCGCGGUAAUACGUAGGGUGCGAGCGUUGUCCGGAAUUACUGGGCGUAAAGAGCUCGUAGGCGGUUUGUCACGUCGUCUGUGAAAUCCUAGGGCUUAACCCUGGACGUGCAGGCGAUACGGGCUGACUUGAGUACUACAGGGGAGACUGGAAUUUCUGGUGUAGCGGUGGAAUGCACAGAUAUCAGGAAGAACACCGAUGGCGAAGGCAGGUCUCUGGGUAGUAACUGACGCUGAGGAGCGAAAGCAUGGGUAGCGAACAGG
rnacentral:rRNA from 1 species